rnacentral:rRNA from 1 species
UACGAAGGGGGCUAGCGUUGCUCGGAAUCACUGGGCGUAAAGGGUGCGUAGGCGGGCCAUUAAGUCAGUGGUGAAAGCUCCGAGCUUAACUCGGAAACUGCCAUUGAUACUAUUGGUCUUGAAUUCGGUCGAGGUUGGCGGAAUGUGUCGUGUAGCGGUGAAAUGCUUAGAUAUGACACAGAACACCGAUUGCGAAGGCAGCUAGCUAGACCGACAUUGACGCUGAGGCACGAAAGCGUGGGGAUCAAACAGG